GAUGAAUGCUGGCGGCGUGCCUAACACAUGCAAGUCGAGCGGCAGCGCGAGUAGUUUACUACUUGGCGGCGAGCGGCGGACGGCUGAGUAACGCGUAGGAACGUGCCCCAAAGUGAGGAAUAACUGCCCGAAAGGGUGGCUAAUGCCGCAUAUGAUCUUCGGAUUAAAGUCUUCGGACGCUUUGGGAGCGGCCUGCGUUAGAUUAGGUAGUUGGUGAGGUAAUGGCUCACCAAGCCGACGAUCUAUAGCUGGUCUGAGAGGAUGAUCAGCCAGACUGGGACUGAGACACAGCCCAGACUCCUACGGGAGGCAGCAGUGAGGAAUCUUCCACAAUGGGCGAAAGCCUGAUGGAGCAACGCCGCGUGAAGGAUGAAGGCCCUAGGGACGUAAACUUCUUUUAUAAGUGAAGAAUAUGACGGUAACUUAUGAAUAAGCACCGGCUAACUACGUG
rnacentral:rRNA from 1 species